rnacentral:rRNA from 1 species
GCCCUACGGGGCGCAGCAGUGAGGAAUAUUGGUCAAUGGGAGAGAUCCUGAACCAGCCAAGCCGCGUGAGGGAAGACGGCCCUAUGGGUUGUAAACCUCUUUUGUCGGAGAACAAAACCCGGGACGAGUCCCGGACUGCGUGUAUCCGAAGAAAAAGCAUCGGCUAACUCCGUGCCAGCAGCCGCGGUAAUACGGAGGAUGCGAGCGUUAUCCGGAUUUAUUGGGUUUAAAGGGUGCGUAGGCGGGCUGUUAAGUCAGCGGUCAAAUGUCGGGGCUCAACCCCGGCCUGCCGUUGAAACUGGCGG